ACGGGCGGAGUGUACAAGACCCGGGAACGUAUUCACCGCGGCAUGCUGAUCCGCGAUUACUAAGCGAUUCCAGCUUCAUGUAGUCGAGUUGCAGACUACAAUCCGAACUGAGACGUUAUUUUUGAGAUUUGCUCACACUCACAUGCUCGCUUCCCUUUGUUUACGCCAUUGUAGCACGUGUGUAGCCCUGGCCAAAA
rnacentral:rRNA from 1 species